GUCGGGAUUUUUCGAAAUCUCACAAAAACUGCAUUAAAUCGAAAACCGUAAGGAUUUGGGAUAAACAAGUUACCAAAUUCUGAGAGUUCUAACGUUGGCCUAUCAGCAUAUUUCGUUUGAUCCAUUACUUUUGGGACACCCUGUAUGACUUUUUUCUCAAAAACUAGAAGACUAGUUUUCACUGUUCGAUAAGGAAUCAAUUGAGGAAGUUUUCUGUGACAACAUUCCAAUGAUUUUAAAUACUAUUCGUGCAAUGAACACCAAAAAUCCCACCUUUUGUGUGGAUCUAUAUAUACGUUUAUGGAGAAUCGAAGGACGAACUUAUCCCUUCCUUAAAAAAACUCUUAUCACAAUCACAUAAAGAGCUAGGCGGAACCGAUCUCUCAGAAUUUGAAAUAACAAAAACUUAUGUCAUCAAGGAAAUUUGCUCAGAAAGACCAAAUCAAUACGGUUCUGAUCUAGUAUCUCAUCUAUCAGACACAUUUAACACAUGUACUGAUAAAAAUGGCGACCAAGCUACGUCAUUGGCCUAAGAUUCCAUAGUAUCGCUGUGUGAAAGUCAUACUGUAAACAUUAUCUCAACUUGGAAGAAAGCUCUGAGUGGCUAGUUCCGUCAUGAAACACGGCCGCGCACAACAAAAAUUUUACUUCGCUUCUUUGGUCAGGUUCCAUUACUUCAAACACCAACUAUUGAAUAUGAAAAUCUCGUUGAAGAUGCUUUAGAUAACAUUUGGAAAACAAUCUGCACUUCGGACAAUCUAGAGAUAAUUCAAGAAGCCUUUAAAUCUUUGACACAGACUUCAAAUAUGUAUCAAGUGAGUAUAACCAAGAGACUGGUCGCGAAAUCAUAGAUUUGCAAAACGAAACAAUUCCUGGUGAUUGUUGGAUUCAAGUGUUACAAAGAGUUCGACCUGAAUGUACGUCUGCUGUAGCUGAUCUACUUUCGCAUUAUAUUUACCAAGAAAUCAAUGGGUAUAGAGGUGGUGUUUAUCGAAUACCUGAGGGUAAACCGUAACCUCGUAAAAUUCAAGUGAACGAUCCCAAAAGUGUUCUCAGAGCGGUGUUAAACUAUUUGAUUUCACAGUCUCGCUUUGGUGAUCGUAUUCAUGAGCCGCAUGUUGUGAGGAAUGCUUUACGAGCAAUUUCAAAAAAAUUUCCCAAACCAAUUCCACCUUUAGAUUGGUGUUUCCUGCAUAGUUUCUUUCAUUUAAGUUUUGAAACACGAAAAUAUUGUAUAUUAAUUGCAAAAAAUCAAGUUCUGGACUCGGGAACUGCUAAGAGAUUGUUGGAGAAUUUCCUAACUGAAUUUGAACCGAAUUGCUUUGAAAAAGACCUUCUGCUGUUCAGUGUGCUUCCGGAAAUCGCCAAUGGAGUGAGUUUGCAAAUUAUCAAAUAUUUAACAGAGAAGAUAGCUGUUUACUGCUUCAAGGAAUCACAACUCAAUGGAUUUGCUGAAGCCAUUGUGUUCUGAGGUCAUCCGAGUUGGAGAUUUGGCGAUGCGGUCCACUUUAUUGAAAUGUGGGGUUCAAGUCCGAAUAAUUCAAUCAAUUUACAGAACCUGACUUCCCAUAUCUUCAAGUGCUGGUUCCUUUCCAACCCUUGUCCAUGAAGGCAUCCUAUUGUCCCAUCGAUACGUCACUGAACUAUCAACAAGCAAACAAGCUUAUUAAGGAACCAAAACCUAGUGUCUUGGUUAUUCCUGAAAACUAUUAAAAACCGCAUCCAAUUGCUCCACAACUUUAUAUUGAAUAACCGGACAAGAAAAUCAUCACUUCCAAAUGUGGCGAAACCAUUCGAUUGCCACUCAAACGAAAAAUGGAUCGAGUCUAUCUUAAAUCUGAACUAGCAUCAAAAUUGUUCCUCGUGAAACAACUCCCGGUGUGACAAUAUCCACAUUAACUGGAAUUCUUGAAGUCAAAGAUAAAGUAAAUAAUAUUGCUCCAUGUGAUGAUGAAUCGGAUAGUAAAGCAAAUACAAGUGCUGGCACAACUCUACAUCCACCACUCUACAGAAGUUCUAAAGAAAGUUAAAUAUGAAUAUGGAGGAGUAGAUAUAGAUUCCAUAUUGGCGCAAGAUGGAAUAACAGAAAUUAAAACAGAACGAAUUGGAGGUGUAUUAACGAUAAGCGUACCAAGUGAAGAUACGAUAAUUAAAAUUGAUGAAAACUCAACGCAUAUUGUGUGUGGGGGUAAGCAGUCGUUGAGACUGAAAUUGAGAGAUUCCCUAAUGAAAUGUGUGCAGCAGCAAUUUGCACAUUCUCAAAAACCACCCGGCCGAGUGCACCACAUGCAAACCCAAUUUACAUUGGGAAAAAAAACCAACCCCUUUACCCGAAGGUACACCAAUGCAUCCGGAUGUGAUGCGAAUGACUUGGAAUCGACAGCAGAAUAACGAAUCAGAAGGAGAUAUAGACAAAGGAAGGAAUCAACAAAGGAGGGAAUACUAGACAUCCAAAACACAAACAACAGCAGCAACAACAAAUAAAAAGAUUUAUUUUAUUUAAUAUUUAUUUUAAAAUUGUAUUUAUUGUAAUUUUUUAAUCUAAAAAACAUUAAAAUAAAAAAAAAAAAACAAUUUCAGUGAACAA